rnacentral:misc_RNA from 1 species
AACCAUUCUCACCUGCGGCUAGACCUGCGGAAGGAUCAUUAAUUAAUUUGGUGGGAGUUUUUUUUUUUUUUAUAAAACUCUUUAUACCUUUUUACUGUGAAUUGUAUUGAAUUAUAUGACGUUUUAAGGGGAUGUCCAUAACUGCUAUAAGGGUAAGUGUUUUGGAAUGUUUAACCUAGUCAUAGUCAAGCUUAGGCUUGGUACCCUAUUUAUUAUUUACCAAAAGAAUUCAGAAUUAUA